AGAGUUUGAUCAUGGCUCAGAUGACGCCGCGGCGUGCUUAACACAUGCAAGUCGAACGAGAAAUCGUUCCUUCGGGGGCGAGAGUAAAGUGGCGUACGGGUGAGUAACGCGUGGGUACCUACCCUCGGGUUCGGGAUACUUUUCGAAAGGAAGGCUAAUCCGGAUAAGCCACGAAGGCUUCGGCUUUUGGGGUAAAAGAUGGCCUCUGCGUGCAACUAUCGCCUGAAGAUGGGCUCGCGUGCUAUUAGCUGUUGGUGGGGUAACGGCCUACCAAGGCUACGAUAGCUAGCUGGUCUGAGAGGAUGACCAGCCACACUGGAACUGAAACACGGUCCAGACUCCUACGGGAGGCAGCAGUGAGGAAUUUUGCGCAAUGGGGGAAACCCUGCGCAGCAACGCCGCGUGAGUGAAGAAGGCCCUCGGGUCGUAAAGCUCUGUCAAGUGGGAAGAAAUUCCUGAAGGCCAAUACCCUUUUGGAUUGACGGUACCACUGAAGGAAGCACCGGCNNNCUCCGUGCCAGCAGCCGCGGUAAUACGGAGGGUGCAAGCGUUAUUCGGAUUCAUUGGGUGUAAAGCGCGUGUAGGCGGCUUGGCAGGUCAGAUGUGAAAGCUCCGGGCUUAACCCGGAAAGUGCAUUUGAAACUACCAGACUUGAGUCCCGGAGAGGAAGGUGGAAUUCCCAGUGUAGAGGUGAAAUUCGUAGAUAUUGGGAGGAACACCGGUGGCGAAGGCGACCUUCUGGACGGUGACUGACGCUGAGACGCGAAAGCGUGGGUAGCAAACAGGAUUAGAUACCCUAGUAGUCC
rnacentral:rRNA from 1 species